GCCUUGGUGGUGUAGUGGUAGUAGCACGCGUGCCCGGUUAGGAUGAAACGCGGGUUUGAUUUCCGGCUGAGGCC